GUAAGUUGCCCUGCGUCCGUUUGCUGUGCGUUUCUGCAUAAUCAAAUUAGUGUUUCUUUAAUGUAAGAAUCUUAGUAGUACCCAAAAACCCCAUAGAGAAGAA